UUGAACGCUGGCGGCAGGCCUAACCCAUGCCAGUCGAACGGUAACAGGAAGCAGCUUGCUGCUUUGCUGACGAGUGGCGGACGGGUGAGUAAUGUCUGGGAAACUGCCUGAUGGAGGGGGAUAACUACUGGAAACGGUAGCUAAUACCGCAUAACGUCGCAAGACCAAAGAGGGGGACCUUCGGGCCUCUUGCCAUCGGAUGUGCCCAGAUGGGAUUAGCUAGUAGGUGGGGUAAAGGCUCACCUAGGCGACGAUCCCUAGCUGGUCUGAGAGGAUGACCAGCCACACUGGAACUGAGACACGGUCCAGAGUCCUACGGGAGGCAGCAGUGGGGAAUAUUGCACAAUGGGCGCAAGCCUGAUGCAGCCAUGCCGCGUGUAUGAAGAAGGCCUUCGGGUUGUAAAGUACUUUCAGCGGGGAGGAAGGGAGUAAAGUUAAUACCUUUGCUCAUUGACGUUACCCGCAGAAGAAGCACCGGCUAACUCCGUG
rnacentral:rRNA from 1 species